rnacentral:rRNA from 2 species
UAAGGGCUCACCAAGGCGACGAUCCCUAGCUGGUCUGAGAGGAUGAUCAGCCACACUGGAACUGAGACACGGUCCAGACUCCUACGGGAGGCAGCAGUGGGGAAUAUUGCACAAUGGGCGCAAGCCUGAUGCAGCCAUGCCGCGUGUGUGAAGAAGGCCUUCGGGUUGUAAAGCACUUUCAGUCGUGAGGAAGGUAGUGUAGUUAAUAGCUGCAUUAUUUGACGUUAGCGACAGAAGAAGCACCGGCUAACUCCGUGCCAGCAGCCGCGGUAAUACGGAGGGUGCGAGCGUUAAUCGGAAUUACUGGGCGUAAAGCGCAUGCAGGUGGUUUGUUAAGUCAGAUGUGAAAGCCCGGGGCUCAACCUCGGAAUUGCAUUUGAAACUGGCAGACUAGAGUACUGUAGAGGGGGGUAGAAUUUCAGGUGU